rnacentral:rRNA from 1 species
CAUGCAUGUCUAAGAACGCCGUUUCGGUUUUUCUGUAUAUAGCUCAUUACAACAGUACUAUUUGCCUCGAUUAAUCCUACCUAGGAUACUUUCGAUAAUCCUGGAGUCAAUACCGUGUCCCUACGGGGAAAUGAGGUCACCAGCCUGCUUUGCAGUUUGUGUACCGUAUUAUCUGAAUUUCUUAUGAAACCGAGCGUUAGCUUCGGCAAAUCGUGCAAAGCACUGUCCUUUUAACUUGAGAUGGUAGUGUGGGGGACUACCAUGGUGAUUACGGGUAACGGGGUAUAAGGGUAUUACACCGGAGAGGAUGCCUUAGAUACGGCAACCACAUCUAAGGGAGGCAGCAGGCGCGCAAAUUACCACGUCUUAAAUCAAGGCGGUAGUGACGAAACGUAUCAAGCUAUUCUCUAUGAGAGUAUGCAUUGAAAUGGUUUUAAACCAAAACCUUGAAAGAGGAUCUAUGAGAGGGCAAGUCUGGUGCCAGCAGCCGCGGUAAUUCCAGUUCUCAAGGCGUAUGGCCUUUGUGUUGUGGUUAAAAAGCUCGUGAUUGUAUCUGUGUUAGUACCUUAGGCUCGUCCUGGGGGAAUCGCCUUAUGGCGAGAGCUACUCUGAGCAAAUCAGAGUGCUCAAAACAAGCUUUUUGCUUGAAUGUUCGUGUAUGGAAUGAUUGAAAAGGACUUUGUGUUCUUAUUAGUUGGUUUUGAAUCAAAGUAAUGGUUGAACGGGACCCGCGGGGGCAUACGUAUCGUUACGCGAGAGGUGAAAUUCGUGGACCGUAACGAGACGACCUAAAGCGAAAGCAUUUGCCAAGAAUGUCUU